rnacentral:rRNA from 1 species
UACAGAGGGUGCAAGCGUUAAUCGGAAUUACUGGGCGUAAAGCGCGCGUAGGUGGUUCGUUAAGUUGGAUGUGAAAUCCCCGGGCUCAACCUGGGAACUGCAUCCAAAACUGGCAAGCUAGAGUAUGGUAGAGGGUGGUGGAAUUUCCUGUGUAGCGGUGAAAUGCGUAGAUAUAGGAAGGAACACCAGUGGCGAAGGCGACCACCUGGACUGAUACUGACACUGAGGUGCGAAAGCGUGGGGAGCAAACAGG